UACGUAGGGGGCAAGCGUUGUCCGGAUUUAUUGGGCGUAAAGCGCACGCAGGCGGUCUUUUACGUUUCGAGUGACAGGUGGGGGCUUAACUCCCACAGGCCUUGGAAAACGGGAAGACUUGAGGACGAGAGAGGGAUGCGGAAUUCCAGGUGGAGCGGUGAAAUGCGUAGAGAUGUGGAGGAACACCAGUGGCGAAGGCGGGUCUCUGGACAGUUCCUGACGCUGAGGCACGAAGGCCAGGGGAGCAAACGGG
rnacentral:rRNA from 1 species